AAAGGAGGAAAUUCUUGCUUGACUUAUACCAUAAAGCUUGCUAUCUCUUGGUUAGAUCCUUCCUCCCUAGCUUUUACUUUAUGUUCUAGGAUAGUCUCUUAUUCUCCUCCCUUUUUUUAGUUUUCAAAUCUACUAUUUCUUUUCAAACCUUCUUGUUUUAAACUUGACCCAUUUUCUCAAUAAACCUUGACUUUUGUCAAGUGAUUUUCAAAA
rnacentral:lncRNA from 1 species